rnacentral:rRNA from 1 species
GACGAACGCUGGCGGCGUGCUUAACACAUGCAAGUCGAACGGAAAGGCCCUGCCUUUGUGGGGUGCUCGAGUGGCGAACGGGGGAGUAACCCGUGAGUAACCUGCCCUUUACUUUGGGAUAACUUCAGGAAACUGAGGCUAAUACCGGAUAGGAGCUCCUGCUGCAUGUUGGGCGUUGUAGAGUAUGGGCGGUUGGGGCUGGACUCGCGGCUUAUCAGCUUGUUGGUGGGGUAGUGGCUUACCAAGGCUGUGACGGGUAGCCGGCCUGAGAGGGUGACCGGCCACAAGGGGACUGAGAUACGGCCCAGACUGUAACGGGAGGCAGCAGUGGAGAGUAUUGCACAAUGGGCGGAAGCCUGAUGCAGCAACGCCGCGUGCGGGAUGACGGCCUUCGGGUUGUAAACCGCUUUCGCCUGUGACGAAGCGUGAGUGACGGUAAUGGGUAAAGAAGCACCGGCUAACUACGUG